rnacentral:lncRNA from 1 species
AGGUCCUUGAGAUCCAGAGAAAUCCUAUUUUACUCGAGAUCAUAUUCAUACACUCCAGACAUACUGGGUCCCCAUCCUUUGGCUCUGUGUUUCUCCUACCCUCCUUUCCUGGCCUGGAGAACCUCUCAUCCUUGAGCCCAGCUCAGAGUGGUUUCAUCUGUGUGUCCUGGCCGCCCUGAGUGGACCUGCCUUUCUGAGUCUCCCCGCCGCCCUCGCCCUGUGGCAUCUGAGGGUGUCCUCUAGGGCCUGCACGACCUGGGGCGUUCGGGUCCAGACCCCGGGCCAUGGGUGGGCCAUCCAUGCUGCGCUGCACGCCUGGCCCCACAGCGGCUGUACCUUGAGGGUUAUGGGCAGCCAGGUGCGCCGGUUCUCGUCCACAUACACAGCCUUUUCCCACAUCCUCAGGUGGUCCGGAUGAAAGGGUGUGUCCGCCAUAAAGAACGGGCCCUCGGCCAUGGUGCCUCGAGGGGUCUGGAAGCAAGUGCAGGAGCCGCUCGAGGCUUCUCGCUGGUCCACGGGCUGCAGAACCUCGAUGCUUUAUAGUCGGAGGGCGCGCGGGCGCCCCCAAGAGGCACCAGCGCCCUCCGCCCCCCUGGAUGCCGGGACUCCACUGUGUGCGGCUCCUUGGAGCCACCCUGCAGACUGGGACUCUGAGCCUCUGCUUGGAACUCACAGCCGACGUUGGGCAACCCGGAGCCAGGGCCCCCUCCGCAUCUGGGAUCAGAAGAAAUGGGUGCAAGCCUGAAUGAGGCCUGGACUUUUCCCAGGUUCACGGCACCACUUUUACCCUGUGGAUUUGGGUAUCAGGGUCAAUUUCCUUGGUAAAUUGCAACUCUUGAAGCCCCUGUGCCCUUCCCCCACACAUUUUCCACUCUUUGAUGAUGCUGUGGUCAUCUAAUAGCUGUUGUGAAACCCGGUUGUGAAGAAACAUGGGUUUUUCCCUUUAUAGGCUUUGUAUUCAUUAGUGAAAACAUCGUUCGAAAUGCAGGCUUAAAAAGAAACCCCUCCCUCCAUCCCAAUAUCAGUGGAUUUGAGGAGUCCCUGUGUUAUAGGAUCACACUGUCUCCCAGUAAAUUGCAUCAACUGAGGAAAACAAUUUCACUUUAUUUUGCAGUACCACAUGCCCAUUAAAGCAAUUAGGAAAAUAAAAUACAAUGAAAAACAUGUAAAAG